rnacentral:rRNA from 1 species
UUCAGCGGCCAUAGCAGUUGUGUUACACCCGGUCUCAUCCCGAACCCGGCAGUUAAGACAACUCACGUGGGUAUUUGUACUGAGGUACGAGAGUCCUUGGGAAUAUAUCUUCGCUGCUGUUU